CCUGGCUCAGGACAACGGCUGGCGGCGUGCCAAUACAUGCAAGUCGAGCGGACCGACUGGAGAGCUUGCUCUCCUCGAAGUCAGCGGCGAACGGGUGAGGUAACACGUAGGGCGAACCUAGCCCGCCAAGAACUGGGAGUAACUCCGGAAACCGGGGCCGUAAUAACCCAGAUAGGAUCUACCCUCGCAUGAGGGAAGGAUGAAAAGGACGGCCUCGGCUGUCACUUGCGGAUGGGCCCGCGGCGCAUUAGCUAGUUGGUGAGGUAGAGGCUCACCAAGGCGACGAUGCGUAGCCGACCUGAGAGGGUGACCGGCCACACUGGGACUGAGACACGGCCCAGACUCCUACGGGAGGCAGCAGUAGGGAAUUUUCGUCAAUGGGCGCAAGCCUGAACGAGCAACGCCGCGUGAGUGAGGACGGCUUUCGGGUUGUAAAGCUCUGUUCUUCGGGAAGAACGGCAGAAGGGUAAAUAAUCCUUUUGCGUGACGGUACCGGAGAAGAAAGCCCCGGCUAACUACGUG
rnacentral:rRNA from 1 species